UAUGCCGCAAUAAUAAUUCAACUUAGUACGAAAGAAACCGUUGAUUCACACAAUUGGUAAUUGCACUUGGUUGAAAAGCCAAUAGCGUGAAGUUACCAUGCGUGGGAUUAUGAUUGAACACCUCUAAAUCAGAAUCUGUGCUAGAUGCAAUGCUCUCUACCUCCUCAAUUGUUACCUGAUUAAGGUUAGGGGGGGCUGUGCUCCCCCGAGAACAUAUAAUGCAAGCACUGUCCCCCAAGGCCCUACAAGUGUGGCUUAGAAAUUCAAUUUCAAACAGUUGAGGAGAUAAAUCCUUUACAGAUGACUUAAAUAGGGACAAAGUACUGUAAGUGGAAGUGGCAGAGUAGUGUUGCUGCUAAGCUCCAUGGAAGUUCAUCUAUCUGUCCCACCAAUUU
rnacentral:ncRNA from 1 species